AAGAUACAAAAAAUUAGCUGGGCGCGGUGGCCGGCACCUGUAGUCCCAGCUACACGGGAGGCUGAGGCAGGAGAAUGGCGUGAACCCUGGAGGCGGAGUUUGCAGUGAGCCGAGAUCGGGCCACACCACUCCAGCCUGGGCGGCAGAGGGAGACUCCAUCUCAAAAAAAGAAAAUUAAAAAAAAGAAAUUCUUCCUCUCUCACAUCAUUAACUAGGGUGACUCAGUGGUAUUCGGCUGGCAAAUAAGUCAGUCUGGAAGGUGCAAGGUGCUUUUUUUCUGUCUUAUAAAUUGGUGGGGUUGUCUGGAAGGCACGGCUCAGAUGGGAAGGACUCUUAGUUAUAGUGCCUGCACAGGGUGAACUUUUUUUUUUUUUUUUUGGGACGGAGUCUCACUGUCCCCCAGGCUGGAGUGGUGUGGCCCGAUCUCGGCUCACUGCAAACUCCGCCUCCCGGGUUCACGCCAUUCUCCUGCCUCAGCCUCCCGAGUAGCUGGGACUACAGGCGCCCACCACCAGGCCCAGCUACUUUUUUGUAUUUUUAGUAGAGACGGGGUUUCACCAUGUUGGCCAGGAUGGUCUCGAUCUCCUGACCUCGUGAUCCACCCGCCUGGGCCUCCCAAAGUGCUGGGAUUACAGGCCU
rnacentral:lncRNA from 1 species